rnacentral:rRNA from 1 species
AACGGACGCUGGCGGCAGGCCUAACACAUGCAAGUCGAGCGCCCAGCAAUGGGAGCGGCAGACGGGUGAGUAACACGUGGGAACCUUCCCUAUAGUACGGAAUAGCCCAGGGAAACUUGGAGUAAUACCGUAUACGCCCGAGAGGGGAAAGAUUUAUCGCUAUAGGAUGGGCCCGCGUAGGAUUAGCUAGUUGGUGAGGUAAUGGCUCACCAAGGCGACGAUCCUUAGCUGGUUUGAGAGAACGACCAGCCACACUGGGACUGAGACACGGCCCAGACUCCUACGGGAGGCAGCAGUGGGGAAUAUUGGACAAUGGGCGCAAGCCUGAUCCAGCCAUGCCGCGUGAGUGAUGAAGGCCUUAGGGUUGUAAAGCUCUUUUAGCAGGGAAGAUAAUGACUGUACCUGCAGAAUAAGCUCCGGCUAACUUCGUGCCAGCCGCCGCAGUAACAC